AUUGAACGCUGGCGGCAGGCCUAACACAUGCAAGUCGAACGAGUGGCGGACGGGUGAGUAAUGUCUGGGAAACUGCCUGAUGGAGGGGGAUAACUACUGGAAACGGUAGCUAAUACCGCAUACCAUCGGAUGUGCCCAGAUGGGAUUAGCUAGCAGGUGGGGUAACGGCUCACCUAGGCGACGAUCCCUAGCUGGUCUGAGAGGAUGACCAGCCACACUGGAACUGAGUCACGUUCCAGACUCCUACGCGGGGCAGCAGUGGGGAAUAUUGCACAGUGGGCGCAAGCCUGAUGCAGGCAUGCCGCGUGUAUGAAGAGGGCCUUCGGGGUGUAAAGUACUUUCAGCGUGGAGGCGUUACCCGCAGAAGAAGCGCCGGCUAACUCCGUGCCAGCAGCCGCGGUAAUU
rnacentral:rRNA from 1 species